rnacentral:misc_RNA from 1 species
CAUUUAGAGGAAGGAGAAGUCGUAACAAGGUUUCCGUAGGUGAACCUGCGGAAGGAUCAUUGUCGAAACCUGCCCCGCAGAAUGACCCGCGAACACGUUUACAACACAUAAGGUGGAGCUGGGGGGCUCACGCUCUCCCAAUCCGCCGCUGCCGAUGGGACGGAUGGCGGGCUUCGCUCAAACCAUCCGCUCAUAGGCAGAAUAACCAACCCCGGCGCAGGUAGCGCCAAGGAAUACGAACUGAAAAGAUCACGCUGUCGAAGCCCCCGGAAACGGUGGGCCUUAGGCAUGCGUCGUACUCUUUCUAAAAAUAAAACGACUCUCGGCAACGGAUAUCUCGGCUCUCGCAUCGAUGAAGAACGCAGCAAAAUGCGAUACUUGGUGUGAAUUGCAGAAUCCCGUGAAUCAUCGAGUUUUUGAACGCAAGUUGCGCCCGAAGCCUUCCGGCCGAGGGCACGUCUGCCUGGGUGUCACGCGAGAGUCGCUCCAGUUGGGGCGGAUGCUGGCCUCCCGUGUGCUGCGAGGCACGCGGUUGGCCGAAAAGAUGAGUCCCCGGUGAAGGUUGCCACGACAAUCGGUGGUUGCAAUACCCUCUGACACAGUCGUGCACARCCAUAUGCCACGAGGGACAUCCGAGACCCCGACGCAGCCUUUUUAAGGGCUUGCUCCGAUCGUGACACCAGGUCAGGCGGGACUACCCGCUGAGUUUAAGCAUA